CAGAGAUGCUGUCGUUGUUCUCUAGCAGCAGACAGCUGACUCGGUCCAGGACUUCAGCUUGGAGAGCCAUUUCCUCCAGCAGGUCCCUCCUGGACGGGCUGAAGUCCGUCGUUUUGAUCAUCUGAGGAGACAUCAUGCUGCCCAAACAGGAAGCGUCAUCAUCUGCAUUGAAGUCAUGUGACAGAAAGUCAAAGCUGCCCAGGACUUCCUCCACAGCCAGAGUCUCCUCUGAUGAGGAGCUUCUCAGCAGGGAGAGGUCAUUCUGUGGGUCAACACAUUCAGACAGGGAUCCGUCCUCCCCAAGGGACAGCUGGGUCUGGCUUCCUCCCAGACUGGUGCCUCUACUGUGGCUGGUGGGGUAGCUGUGAGUCCGUGUGAGACUGGAGGAAGAGAUUUUCAUACGAAGCAUACAAUCACAGUGAAAUUAGGGCAGUCAAUCCAUUAAAAUAGUUAAUCGCAAAUUAAUCGCACAUUUUUUAAUCUGUUCAAAAUGUUCCUUAAAGAGAGAUUUGUCAAGUAUUUAAUACUCUUAUCAACAUGGGAGUGGACAAAUAUGCUGCUUUAUGCAAAUGUAUAUAUAUAUUUAUUAUUGGAAAUCAAACAUAUCAAACAUAAAUCCAUGUUGACAUCUUUCUAAUUAAAUUUAGUAACAGUGCAUGUUUGAAUCCUUCUACUAUAGUUGUCUGUAUUUUUUAUUGGAGAUGAAACUGAUAUUGAUCCUCUGAUCUAACUCUGGGUACGAUUGCAAGCAGAUUUUUUCCCCCUAAAUGUUCCAGUGUAUGUUCCUUUAAAGCAAUGUUCGCCAACAUGUAGGCCCCCCAAGAUGAUUAAAGAGAUGUGACUUUAAUGUGAAAUACUGAAUACUUUCAUCUGUUCAGACCUCUGAAAAUCAGUCAAAUAACAUCUGCUCAUAAUUCAUAACCUCUGAUGUGGGGUAACAAGACAAGGAGGUUGGGAAGUACUGCUUUAAAGUAUAAGGCUGGCAUGAACAGAGCCGUUUGAAUGGCUCCAUGAAUCACACAGAUGAUGUUUGUACAUUUAAAAGAUCAUUUUUCGAGUCCAGAAAGUCUCAGUUUGUUGUCGUAUCAUUUAGUUUAGUGUGAAACCGCUCAGUAAACUACAUCUCUCAUCUCACACAACAUACGUCACCAAAACUAGAUAGCUAGCUAACUCAGCUAUUCUGAAAUAAGGUCCCAUGGUGGUCACAGGAAGGGGCGGGACUUCACCUCUCUAUUCUUUAAUAUUAUUAUUAUUAUUAUUAUUAUUAUUACUGACAAAUCCCAUUAAAAGACAUCAUUUAAUUUAUUUGAUGAAGAAGUCUGGUGUGUGUAAGCUCUGUAUAUUAGCUGGUUGUAAGUGAAAUCCAUCAGCAGUAACAUGAGUG